rnacentral:rRNA from 1 species
GACGAACGCUGGCGGCGUGCCUAAUACAUGCAAGUAGAACGAGUUGCGAACGGGUGAGUAACGCGUAGGAAACUGCCUCAUAGCGGGGGAUAACUAAUGGAAACGAUAGCUAAUACCGCAUACUUUUUAAUGUACCUGCGUUGAAUUAGCUAGUUGGUGAGGUAAAGGCUCACCUAGGCGACGAUCCCUAGCUGGGCUGAGAGGAUGACCAGCCACACUGGAACUGAGACACGGUCCAGACGCCUACGGGAGGCAGCAGUGGGGAAUAUUGCACAAUGGACGCAAGCCUGAUCCAGCCAUGCCGCGUGUAUGAAGAAGGCCUUCGGGUUGUAAAGCACUUUCAGUGAGGAGGCGUUACUCGCACAGGAAGCACCGGCUAACUCCGUGCCAGCAGCCGCGGUAAUUC